CUCAGUUCGGAUCGCAGGCUGCAACCCGCCUGCGUGAAGUCGGAAUUGCUAGUAAUCGCGGAUCAGCAUGCCGCGGUGAAUACGUUCCCGGGCCUUGUACACACCGCCCGUCACACCAUGAGAGCCGGGAACACCCGAAGUCCGUAGUCUAACCGCAAGGAGGACGCGGCCGAAGGUGGGUUUGGUAAUUGGGGGUGAAGUCGUAACAAGGUAGC
rnacentral:rRNA from 1 species